rnacentral:lncRNA from 1 species
GCUCGUCUGUGGUUGCUCAAAUGCUUCUUUAGGAAUUUUCAGCCCAGGGUUUCUCUUUUUGCCUCUCGACUGAGACAUUUUCCCCUUUGCUUUGAUGGGGGAGGGGAGCACAAAAGACUUUGCCUUGCCUCUCUUCUGGAGCUAGUUUUGCAACAAAGAUGCAAACUGCAAGCGCUCAAUCUUCAUGCAACUGGAGUUUUCCUGACUCGCUGCAGCAGCUCUCCUUGCAGCGGGGGGCCGUGCAAUUGCACACUUUGCAGGGCAGCUUGCAGCGCGGGGGGUUUCCUCCCCCCCUGCUUGCAGUGCUGGGGAAGGCUCUGCUGCACCUACAUGAUGGGCCAGGGCUGGCAGCU